UCUGCGGCCAUCAUGGGAUCGUGCUCUUCUCGCUCGUUGAGCUGGUCCCUUCGCCGUGGCCUGCUGGUGACGGUCUGGAGCGAUGCUGAGCCCGGGCCCAGCCUCUCAGCUCCGCCUUGUGCGCUGCACAGAUCUAGGGGAGCCUGACGGGACGUUGACAACGUGGAAUAGGAGCAGUAUCAUCCCACCAUGAGGUUGGGGAUUUAAGAGUGGAAGAUUGCCAACAGCUGUGGCCUCCCAUGAGGUAAGCUUUCAGCUUGGGAUUUUAGACCGUUUUGAUUUGAGCUAGAGUGUUCAUGUAUGAGCAUCAGUUUUGCCUGUACUCAAUACUGGUUGUAGCUGAUGGGGGUGGUUAAGUAAGGCAACAGUGCACAGCUCUUACUGUAGAGCCAUUUUUUUUUUAAGAUUUAUCAUAUCUAAGUACGCUGUAGCUGUUUUCAGAUGCACCAGAAGAGGGCAUCAGAUCUCAUUACGGAUGGUUGUGAGCCACCAUGUGGUUGCUGGGAUUUGAACUCCGGACCUUCCGAAGAGCAGUCGGUGCUCUUAACCACAGAGCCAUCUCCAGCCCCCUAUAGAGCCAUUUUUGUGUGUGUUUGCUGUCUUGAUGCUAGAAAAAAAUGGCACCGGACUUAGGUGGUUGUGAGCCACAAUUAGUGCUGGCAGUCAAACCUGGUCUUCUAAGAACUUAGACCUUCUAGUCCAUUAACUUGGGUCUUAAAAUUUUCAGUUAAUGUGGUCUUACAAUUGAACCCAGUUGGGCUGGUUUGGCUAGUUGUAAAUGUAUUUUAGUAAUUUGAAAAAUACUUCCCUUUUAGGUCUAGGAUGUGUUAAGAACUGUAGCUUUCUUGAGAAGAGGCAGGCAGAGUUCAGGCCAGCCUCGUCUACAGUAGUGAGCCAGGGCUACAAAGAAAUCCAAAAGAGAAAAGCCAGGGUGGGAGGGCAGCCAUUGAUUUUGCAAGGCUGUUAUAUAUAAUGUCCUGUUUUCUGCAAUCCAUUUUAGGGUGUCCCCUUUCAAGUUCUCAGAACGGACGCAGGACUGCAGAUCUGUGCUGGCAGCAGCAGAGGUGAGUUGGUCUGUACAGUGACUAUCUGUUAUUACUCUGAGAGAUAUCAAAUGAUGAUAUCACCUAAAAUAGCUGGAAUUACCGGCAGAUUGGUAGUGGUGAGCCUAUGGUUUUCUGAAGAUAUCAUUAAAUGUUCUAAAUGCCAUUGAUCCAGGCAGGAGUGAUUCUGAAAUUCAGCUCUUUUGCAGGCUAUAUUCCCAGAGGAGUCUCCAGCCGGCCUGAAAGCAAAUAUCCUAAGUGACAUGUCUGCCAAUUUUGUUCUGGGUGGGCACAUUUGGUAAUCCUGUCUGUACCACAGGAUCUUCUAUGCCUUUUAAAAAUAAACAUUUGUUUAUAAACC
rnacentral:lncRNA from 1 species